rnacentral:rRNA from 1 species
UACGUAGGGGGCGAGCGUUGUCCGGAUUUACUGGGCGUAAAGCGCGCGCAGGCGGCACUACAAGUAAGGUGUGAAAUCUCCCUGCUCAACGGGGAGGGUGCACUUUAGACUGUAGAGCUAGAGGUCGGUAGAGGGGGGUGGAAUUGCUGGUGUAGCGGUGAAAUGCGUAGAGAUCAGCAGGAACACCCGUGGCGAAGGCGGCCCCCUGGGCCGUACCUGACGCUGAGGCGCGAAGGCUAGGGGAGCGAACGGG